CUGGUGCUUUGCAUAGGCCCCCGGAGUCCUAGGCUGGCUGCUCAGAGCUCUUAUUAAAGGGGUUUCCUGGAGACACAGCUUGAGUGCACCAGACAGGUGAGCAGCAGCAAGAUGGGGCCACAGCCACGCCUGCUCACCUUCCUGAUGCUCUGGGUCUCAGGUGUCUGUGGGGACAUCGUGAUGACCCAGUCUCCCAGCUCCGUGACUGCAUCUGUAGGAGAGAAGGUCACUAUCAACUGUAAGUCCAGCCAGAGUGUGGUAUCAGGCUCUAACCAGAAAAGCUACUUAAACUGGUACCAGCAGAGACCUGGACAGUCUCCUAGGCUGCUCAUCUACUAUGCGUCCACCCAGGAAUUGGGGAUCCCUGAUCGAUUCAGCGGCAGUGGGUCCACAACAGAUUUCACUCUCACGAUCAGCAGUGUCCAGCCUGAAGAUGCGGCAGUGUAUUACUGCCAGCAGGCUUAUAGCGCUCCAUCCACAGUGAUUCAGCCUCGAACAAAAACCUCCUCCCCAGGGCCACGGGUCAGUGAGUGUUUGCCCCACCGCGCCAGCUGCUGCUUUCUUGCUCAGCCCUGCGUCUCUCUUAGCUGUAGGAGAGGCUGUGUCUCCUCUACAUUGUUCCCGAAUUUUUGCAUCAUCUACGUCUGUGUCGCUGUCCAUACAGAUAGAUUUAUAUUAUUGAGCCAAUCACAGCUUCUACUGUAUCUUGCGGAGAAGGGACACGUGUGCUUCACGCCCUGAGGCAUCAGCUCUCAG